CACUAGCCAGCUAGUCCGGAGGAUGUACACCCCAGGAGUGGAAACAAGGAUAGAGGCCCUGUAAGACCUUAAUGGACUGUCCUUGAGUGGAUGCCCAAGCAAACUCAUUUCCUGUCAGCAUCCCCUGCUAAUGCACCUCUGCCUGCAGUUAUCACCGAGGUCUAAAGACUCCACUGCAGAGGGUGUGUUCUGAGAGCACAACGCCAUCUUCUGGCAGAGUUCCUGGGAGAAAGGAAACCUUGAAAGAGCACUGCAGUGAACUGGUUCUGGAAAAACCACACUGGCCCGAGAAUCUCAUUUUCCUCCUCUUUUAGAAUUUUGUUGUUCAUCUGAAGACAAGAGAAAGGCCUGAUGGUUGGAAACUGGUCUAAAAUAAAAAUAUGUGUGAUAAACAAUUAGAAUACCUCACAUUCCAGAACUAGGAAGAAAAUGCUAAAUCCCAGUUCAAGUUCUGAGAAUCUCAGAGGCCAGAGAAAUGACUCAGGGCUUGACAGAACUUGCUGAUCUUGCAGCUGCCUCAGGCUCAGUCCCCAGCAUCCACAUGCAGGCUCACAACUCCAGCUGUAACUCCAGUUCCAAGGGACCUGGCACCCUUCUGGCCUCUGUAAGCACUAGACACACACAUGGUGUGCAUACGUAUAUACAAGCAAAACACUCGAACACAUAAAAUAAAGGUAAAUGUCUGAGGAUCUCUCUUA